UGUUUUGGUAGCAGCAGUCAGGCGGCCUCCUCCAUCCCCUGUGAGUGAAACGACCGGUCCCCCUUGUGAAGAGAGGAAAUUCUUCUGACAAUCAGACAUUCACGCAGCAGCUGUCUGUAAUCCAAGGCAUCCUUGUCUGGCACAUAAGCUGGGAGCCAUUUUACCUGAGGCUGUUUUUCGGAAGAGGGAAUCUACCAGAUGGAGAAUGAUGACACAAAGAAAUGGCUGCGGAAGAGAGGAAGCACUGUUACGCAGGGCUCCAGACGAACUUUUUUCACCACUGUCCCGGAACCGUCCUGAAAAACAAUUUUGACCAUCCCAAAGUGAAUGUAAACCAUUUCUUGUUUCUUUACUUUGUAAAGCAAGACAGAGUUUGCCUGAGGCUCCAAAUCACUAAAUCCACCCCUGUUGAUGUAUGAGUGUUUUCUUUAACGAUUUACUUUAAAGAUUAUAGAUGCUGCUUUCAGUAAUUGUAAAUGUUUCCAUGGUGAACUAACUGCCUUUGCAAUAGAGUUUUGUAUUUAUGUAGCCUAUAAUGUAUGCUGCCUGCUUUGGUCCCAUUUCUGCUCCCGCUAACCCAUGCAGUCUGGAAAGAUUGUAGCAUGUUGAGUGCACCGAUUUUUCCAGCAAUUUCUCUUGUAUGAUUGCAGAUAAAAUUGUUAUUAGUGUCUGUAUAUUUCUUGGUAUUCCCCGCUGUUAGUUUGCUUAGUUGUGUCAGUAAUUCGUGCCUUACGAAAAAUAAAGCUCUACUAUGUUCAAA